rnacentral:rRNA from 1 species
AACCCUGAUGCAGCUAUACCGUGUGUGUGAAGAAGGCCUUAGGGUUGUAAAGCACUUUCAAUGGGGAAGAAUUUAAUAUUGCUAAUAUCGAUAUUAGUUGACGUUACCUAUAUAAGAAGCACCGGCUAACUCCGUGCCAGCAGCCGCGGUAAUACGGAGGGUGCAAGCGUUAAUCGGAAUUACUGGGCGUAAAGAGUACGUAGGUGGUUUGUUAAGUCAGAUGUGAAAUCCCUGAGCUUAACUUAGGAACUGCAUUUGAAACUAAUAAACUAGAGUUUCGUAGAGGGGGGUAGAAUUCCAGGUGUAGCGGUGAAAUGCGUAGAGAUCUGGAGGAAUACCAGUGGCGAAGGCGACCCCCUGGACGGAAACUGACACUCAGGUACGAAAGCAUGGGGAGCAAACAGGAUUAGAUACCCUGGUAGUCCAUGCCGUAAACGAUGUCGAUUUGAA